AAUGAACGCUGGCGGCGCGCCUAAUACAUGCAAGUCGAGCGAGAAGACGUAGCAAUACGUUUGUAAAGCGGCGAACGGGUGAGGAAUACAUGGGUAACCUACCCUAGAGUGGGGAAUAACUAGCCGAAAGGUUAGCUAAUACCGCGUACGCUCCUUGGACUUCGGUUCAGGGAGGAAAGCGAUGCCGAGGGUAUCGCGCUCUUGGAUGGGCUCAUGUCCUAUCAGCUUGUUGGGAGGUAACGGCUCACCAGGGCUUCGACGGGUAGCUGGUCUGAGAGGACGAUCAGCCACACUGGCACUGCGACACGGGCCAGACUCCUACGGGAGGCAGCAGUAAGGAAUAUUGCGCAAUGGGCGAAAGCCUGACGCAGCGACGCCGCGUGGGGGA
rnacentral:rRNA from 1 species